CUGGGAACAAUGAUGACCGUAUAGUUCAGCUGAUAAGUCUGUGCUGAAUAUCAAAUUUAGUCUUUCACCCCUAUCUGACAAUUCCCAC
rnacentral:snoRNA from 1 species